UACGUAGGUGGCAAGCGUUGUCCGGAUUUACUGGGCGUAAAGAGCGCGCAGGCGGUCGUUCAAGUCGCGUGUGAAAGCCCCCGGCUCAACUGGGGAGGGUCACGCGAUACUGAUCGACUCGAAGGCAGGAGAGGGAAGUGGAAUUCCCGGUGUAGUGGUGAAAUGCGUAGAUAUCGGGAGGAACACCAGUGGCGAAGGCGACUACCUGGCCUGUUCUUGACGCUGAGGAACGAAAGCGUGGGGAGCAAACAGG
rnacentral:rRNA from 1 species